UGUUAAAGGGAUGGGAAUCGAACCCACGACCUUCCGCUUACCGGGCAGAUGCCAUGACCACUAGGCUACCCUGGAC
rnacentral:tRNA from 1 species